AGGGAUAUUGGUCAAUGGGGGAAACCCUGAACCAGCAACGCCGCGUGAGGGAAGACGGUUUUCGGAUUGUAAACCUCUGUCCUCUGUGAAGAUGAUGACGGUAGCAGAGGAGGAAGCUCCGGCUAACUACGUGCCAGCAGCCGCGGUAAUACGUAGGGAGCGAGCGUUGUCCGGAUUUACUGGGUGUAAAGGGUGCGUAGGCGGCUAUGCAAGUCAGUAGUGAAAUCCAUGGGCUUAACCCAUGAACUGCUAUUGAAACUGGGGGCCUUGAGUGGGCGAGAAGAAGGCGGAAUGCGUGGUGUAGCGGUGAAAUGCAUAGAUAUCACACAGAACACCGAUUGCGAAGGCAUCUCACGAAUCCGCGAUUGACGCUGAUGCACGAAAGCGUGGGUAUCAAACAGG
rnacentral:rRNA from 1 species